UGUCCUCUAAGAUAUAUUAACUAAAUCUUUUAAAUUAUUAAGUUCAUAAAAUGAGCUAGUUAUGGGGAUAACUAGAUCAUAGCCUUCCAUUAAGAUGCAUGAUAAUGAGUCUAAUAUCCCAAAUAGGCAUUGGAGGUGCCACACACCUGGUGUCUAUUACGUAUUGAAAUUAUCAUUCAUUAUAUAACCAUCUUGUUGUACCUUCAGAUCAAUACUC
rnacentral:lncRNA from 1 species